rnacentral:rRNA from 1 species
UGAGGCCUAACACAUGCAAGUCGAACGGCAGCACGGACUUCGGUCUGGUGGCGAGUGGCGAACGGGUGAGUAAUACAUCGGAACGUGCCCAGUCGUGGGGGAUAACGUAGCGAAAGCUACGCUAAUACCGCAUACGAUCUACGGAUGAAAGCGGGGGAUCGCAAGACCUCGCGCGAUUGGAGCGGCCGAUGGCAGAUUAGGUAGUUGGUGGGGUAAAGGCUCACCAAGCCGACGAUCUGUAGCUGGUCUGAGAGGAUGAUCAGCCACACUGGGACUGAGACACGGCCCAGACUCCUACGGGAGGCAGCAGUGAGGAAUAUUGGUCAAUGGGCGGAAGCCUGAAAGAGCCAUGCCGCGUGCAGGAAGACGGCCCUACGCUUUGAGAGUGUUUUCCGGGGGAAGAAUAAGGCCCAC